GUCGGAUUCAAGCUCCGCCCACGCACGCUUUGGGUUCGUCCUCGCUUUAAAAAUUAAAUGCCCACUUGAAAGUCCGAAUGGAUAUCCACAUCUCUGGAGGAAUAAAUACACACAGGGUUAUGAUGCAGUGGAGUUAAAAUGCAAUGGCGAAGACGCAUAAAUCAAAAGGAGGAUGCAAAAUUUUGCGUUACUGCUGGAAGGGACAAAGUGGGGCUUGACAUCCAAUACAUCAAUGCCUUCAAAGAUGACCAGUGACAGAAGUCAGACUGAAAUGAUUAUGAGCGCCGUGAGCCAGACGAGGCCAGUGCUUGACCGAGCCACCAGAGUUGAAAAGGAUCUCGAUGAGGAAAUGCCUCAGGAAAGUCCCGAGACAACAAAUUCCUCAUCAUCAAAAGAAGUUGUUGAACAGGUGACAAGUGAGAAAAGCCAGAUUGAGAGGACUGUGAGUGGCCUGAAUCAGACAAGUCCAGUGUUGGAUGUCCUCCCUGUGUUUGGACAGGAUCAACAGUCUGAUGUUACCCUUGAUGAUAUCCAAGUUCACAGAGAUUUCUACAGAUUCCCAGUUCCCACCACACAGCUGGCCAAGGCUUCCAAACUGCUUUUGUCAAUGCAAAAAGGAUGUCUUUCUGGUCUGCAAGGGAAAUCCCUGGAUGAGAUUGCACUUGAAGGUGAAAUUGCGUUAAGUGAUGCUGAGGCCGAGGAUAGUCAGAGGGAGUCAGAUGACAACGGCACAACAUUCACAUCACACUGUGGAAAUAUCAAGCCUGUGGAUGCUGCAUCUGUUUCUGCAUUAGCAGAGGAGGCUCAUGACACUGAAGGUUUUGGAAACGAUGCUGCUCAACAACGGGAUUCCAGAAGAAUAACAAAGAGAACA